GCUGCCAAAGCCGCCACCGCGCCCUCCCCGCCGCCGUCGAACAAUUCCGUGUGCGUUUUUGCGACUUCACGAAUCGAAAGCGCGCUCGCUCGAACACAUUCCAUUCAUUAAUUCAUCAGAUUUAUUAAAAUCUAAAAUUUCAAUUUCAACCGCCGCCCCGCAUACAAAGUUGUAGCUGAGUAAAACUUGUGCGCUGGGAAAUUGAAUAUUUCGUUGUGUGCGUGCUAGUUACUACGACGGGAUGGAGAAAUCGAGAAGGCGAGCACGGUCCGAGGCCGGACACGAAGACGACGACGCCGUCGUCGAGGAUGAGAGUUUGCGAUCGGCCCGUCGCGCCGCCGUCAUCAAGACAACAAGGACGUUUAAUUAAUUUAAUUAAGCACGAAAUUGGAUUUCACGAACGGUGCCGACCAUUAACGUUCACGUCUAUAAACACGACGAGUACGAGGAUGGAACGAUGUUUUGAUGCUUUCUCGUCUUUCCUUCAUCUUCCAGCAUUCUACACGAUGCAAUUGAUGUUAACAUUUACACACUGCAUGUUCUAAUUACUGCCUGAAACAUAAUUAUUCAUUAUUUCAUCAGAAAAUUACAAAGAACGAAAAAGGUUAUGGGUAUGUUGGGUUGCAUAUAUUUAGGCGCACUACACACACUAAACAAGCUAUAAUAGUCUAUGUAACAAUAAAAAACAAGAUGAUUUCUUC